rnacentral:lncRNA from 1 species
AUGGCUGACAGCUGGGAAAAUCCCUGUGCCCCCGCGCAGCCAGCACCUCCUGAAGCUACUUCUCCAGCUGAAGGACGUGGCGAUCUUGAGUACCAUGGAGUUAAAUUCCUGUCCCCUUGCAGCUUUUAUUGCUUCUCUUACAGCCGCUGUGCUGCCUUGAAUGAGUCCUCCGCGUGGUGCUGCUGGUGGAGGUGGCUGGCACUUCAGCCAGGAGCUGGACUCCGUCGGCCCAAGUCAGCUGCAUUAAUAGAGCAAGGAGAGCUGUGGAAAAAAAUCGAGGGAGGCUGGAACCGAGAUCAAGAGACAUCCAGCUUGCUUCCAACAAGUCUCCUGGCAGACAAGAUACCGGAGGGGGGGAAGAAAGAGCAGACUGUUCCUUAAAAGCAAGCAGGCGAGAAGUAGCAAGAGCAGAAUAACACAAUGUGCCUUAAAAGAAGCGCUCGGAUGCGGUCUCGUCUAGCUUGAGAGCUCAGACCCGAAAUCAGCCAUAGCGGCUAAUUAUGCGGUGCACACACCCUUGGUUUAUGGUGCUGGAAACUCAAACAGAUGGAUUGCACUGUGUAGAGAAAAUGGGGAUGGCUGAAACCCACCAUAAAAAGUCAGAAUAAAAGGUAGGUUAAUGAGUUGUUGCUAGGCGAU